AGCAUCAUGUGGGCUCAGGCCCAUGAUAGUUGCUUCUUCAUCACCCAAGAAGUCCAAGCAUGAAAUGGAUCAUUCGCAUCCGUUGACAAAGCACAUCAAAUGAGCUUCUUAUCCAAACUUUUUGCUUUUUGAAUUUAUUUAUUUAUUUAUUAUUUUCCAAAACACAUCCAAACAUUUUGUUUUGAUAAAUCCUAGGAUACCAACGCAAGUUGCGGAACCGCGUGACAAGGUAGGCAGGGAAUUGAACAAGAAGAAGGAAAAUCUCAAGAAAAGUGACCCUGUUCAUGCAAAGACUUUUAGAUUAUCAUCAUCUUAAUUAUUUUAAGAACCCACUAAUCAUUUCACCAAGAAAGUAACCAUAAUCAGUCCUAGAAAAAGUAGAAAUGCAAGCCCAAAAUAAAUCACCCCAUUUCCAAACACUACUACAAUAUACACAGACUUCACACAAGAUAAAGAGAAGGAAAGACAACAAGCAUUGUACAAAAUGGACAACUAACACUUCCUUUACUUCCAACACUAACCCCACAUUACUGUUCUUGUCCUCCUGCAGAUUCCCCAGCUGGAAAAUUACCCGGGUAAACCCUAUUGCUCCUUCCACUUGAGGAGGAAGAAGAAGAAGAAUUUGCAACUUUCUUCUCUUCUAUGACAAUUCCACCUGUUGUUUUAGCUCUUUCCUCUCCCAAUUUCUUCAGUUUCUCCUCCUGCCUCUUUCUCAUCACGUAAACUCCAGCACAAGCAGCUCCAAUGGACGACAUGGCUUCCAAACAGAAAGACUUAAUAAUUAGCUGAGAAAAGUUGCUAUUUUAAGUGUGUUAAAUAAUGUUUAUGGUGUGGAGUGGAAAGGGUUUGGAUAGAGGGGAUUUAUAGAGGUUUAGAAAGGAGUUGGUGACUUAGCUGCUAUUUCUGUUUCACUAAGCUAGGCAGCUAGUUAGUGCAUGCUUCAUGCUUGUGCAUUGCAUGCAUCAGAGCUGACUAAUUUGGCAUUAUCAUGUGAGGUUUUCCAGAGACACGGUUUAUUAAUUAAUUAAAUCUGAAUCCAAUUUAAAAUUAGAUUUGGGACCUCAUAA
rnacentral:lncRNA from 1 species